GGGGAAUAUUGCACAAUGGGGGAAACCCUGAUGCAGCGACGCCGCGUGAGUGAAGAAGUAUUUCGGUACGUAAAGCUCUAUCAGCAGGGAAGAAAAUGACGGUACCUGACUAAGAAGCCCCGGCUAACUACGUGCCAGCAGCCGCGGUAAUACGUAGGGGGCAAGCGUUAUCCGGAUUUACUGGGUGUAAAGGGAGCGUAGGUGGCAAGUCAAGUCAGAUGUGAAAGCCCGGGGCUCAACUCCGGGAUUGCAUUUGAAACUGGUUUGCUAGAGUGCAGGAGAGGUAAGUGGAAUUCCUAGUGUAGCGGUGAAAUGCGUAGAGAUUAGGAGGAACACCAGUGGCGAAGGCGGCUUUCUGGACUGUAACUGACGCUGAGGCGCGAAAGCGUGGGAGCAAAC
rnacentral:rRNA from 1 species